GUAGGUGGCAAGCGUUGUCCGGAAUUAUUGGGCGUAAAGCGCGCGCAGGCGGUUUUUUAAGUCUGAUGUGAAAGCCCACGGCUCAACCGUGGAGGGUCAUUGGAAACUGGAGAACUUGAGUACAGAAGAGGAAAGCGGAAUUCCACGUGUAGCGGUGAAAUGCGUAGAGAUGUGGAGGAACACCAGUGGCGAAGGCGGCUUUCUGGUCUGUAACUGACGCUGAGGCGCGAAAGCGUGGGGAGCAAACAGGGGUUAGAUACCCUGGUAGUCCACGCCGUAAACGAUGAGUGCUAAGUGUUAGGGGGUUUCCCGCCCCCCUUAGUGCUGCAGCUAACGCAUUAAGCACUCCGCCUGGGGGAGUACGGCCGCAAGGCUG
rnacentral:rRNA from 1 species